ensembl:ribozyme Hammerhead_1 Hammerhead ribozyme (type I)
ACUGUACUGAUGAGUCCCAAAAAGGACGAAAUAACAGGCUACAAA